UGGGGAAUAUUCCGCAAUGCGCGAAAGCGUGACGGAGCAAUGCCGCGUGUGGGAUGAAGUAGCUUCGCUAUGUAAACCCCUGUCAGGGGCGAGGAAUCAUGACCAGCCCCAGAGGAAGGACCGGCUAAACUCGUGCCAGCAGCCGCGGUAAUACGAGUGGUCCAAGCGUUAGUCGGAAUCACUGGGCUUAAAGGGUGCGUAGGCGGUCCGGAAAGCGUCUUGUGAAAGCCCUCGGCUCAACCGAGGAAC
rnacentral:rRNA from 1 species